rnacentral:rRNA from 1 species
AUUGAACGCUGGCGGCAUGCCUUACACAUGCAAGUCGAACGGUAACGGGCCUUCGGGUGCCGACGAGUGGCGAACGGGUGAGUAAUGUAUCGGAACGUACCAUUCAGUGGGGGAUAACGUAGCGAAAGUUACGCUAAUACCGCAUAUUCUGUGAGCAGGAAAGCAGGGGAUCGCAAGACCUUGCGCUGAUUGAGCGGCCGAUAUCAGAUUAGCUAGUUGGUGAGGUAAAGGCUCACCAAGGCGACGAUCUGUAGCGGGUCUGAGAGGAUGAUCCGCCACACUGGAACUGAGACACGGUCCAGACUCCUACGGGAGGCAGCAGUGGGGAAUUUUGGACAAUGGGGGCAACCCUGAUCCAGCCAUGCCGCGUGAGUGAAGAAGGCC